GGACGAUUAGCUCAGAUCGGUUAGAGCGCUGCGUUCACAUCGCAGAGGUCGCUGGUUCGAGUCCAGCAUCGUCCA
rnacentral:tRNA from 1 species